CUCUCUGCCUUAUCCCGGCCCCUUGGUUGACGGUCGCUUCAGAGAAGCCCUUGAUGAGGCUGAAGACACAUCUAACAAGGAGGACACAGCACACCACCACAGGACACAACCCGAUGACAGCAGACAAAGAGAGGCCGUACUCGGUCUUUGCUGGCGCAGGCGAAACAGAGCUGUCUGCAGUGGAAGGAGCAAGCUCAGGGGCUUGUCCACUGGCCCCAGCGGCGGGAGCAGGAGAGCCCAGGGCUGCAAAAACAUCCUUUGCAAGGGUUCCAAAUGGAGAACGUGCAAUGUAAGGAAAGGCACCAGCUGAUGGCGCAGGGUGGUGCAGCUACUGGGUCCCUGGGCUGGAGCAAAGCCCAAACCUCAGCAAGGUGGACAGGUCUGCACUCACGAGAAGGCGGCCUUGCCCUCCUCCAUGUCCUUGCCCUUGGCCCCGGGCCCGGCUUUUCCACACAGGUUGACCGCAAUGCACAUGAACAGGCCACACUUGUUCAGGAAGUAGCAGGUGAUGUCCACAACCACCAGCAGCAGGACGAAGAUGACGAUGAGGAUGCCCACGAUGGCCCCAGUGCUCAGGCCUGAGGUGGGGCUGCCAUUGGCUUGGGUGGGAGAGAGAUGGCUUGUGGUUAACAGACUGAAAUGUGAGACCUCCGGACCCUGCCAGCAAAAGCCCCUGGGGGUGGGGAGGGCCCAGAGGACAGAGUCAUGGCAUUCAUGCCCAGAGUGACACCUUCCUGGGGACUUUCUAUGCCCCAGAGUUGAGAAAACAGGGUCUCUCUAUACCUUCCAGAGGGAGGGAUGACAACAUCACCUCACAGAUUGGGGACAGGGGUGAGCCUGGUCAGCUGGCCUCCCAUAAGUCCUAGGAGCAGACUGAGCCCCGCCUGUCUGAGAACACUGGAUAAUGAGGCAGUUGGAGGGCGCUGCUGUGUUUCCCCUGGACCAGGGCAAAAGGCUUUGCAGCACAGGCAGGCAGUGAUCACUGAUUUCAGGCGGGGCUGUGGCUCCUCGAGUGCUCAGGGAUAGGGGCCCAAAAUGGGGUGGUGGAGGGUUCCUGGGGCUUUCUU
rnacentral:antisense_RNA from 1 species